GAAUCUUUUUUUGUGUCCGCGUGCGGUGUGCCUGUGCCCGUAGAGGGGUUAUGGAUGCUGGGGUUGAGGGAGGUCGCGGCGGCGGUGGCGGGGGGAGAAGACGUUGGUGGUGCGGCAGGCGCGUUGGGAUUUCGUGCGACGAGGAAAGGGAAGGGUUCGGCGGGACCUAGACCGCUACCUCCACCGGCGGCAGCACCGGUACCUCCAGAGCGGUCGGCGGAAGCUUCAGGAUGUAGGGGCUAUAGCUGCCCUAAUGUCGGCGGACCGGUUCCAGCAGCCGGGAGCUGCUCGAGGAGGUAUUUAAAACCAAGGGGUAUCACGGAUGCCGGCGGAGAGGGAGAGGUAGGAUGCGGGGAGGAAGAGGUGAAAUCUAAAGCCGACUUCUAGCGGAGAGGGAUAAGGGGAAGGUUAGACCUCGUGUCCGCCUCUCGGACCAACACACGCCGCCUCUACCGCGGGGCGGAGACGCGGAGUAUUCCGACCCGCAUCGAAGCGGCUCCGGUACUGGAGAGGUCCUCCCCUCAGGCCCUCCGCCCUGUCGGCCGUCGCCGCGGUAAGACAAACCCCUACGAACCUAGACCACUACGAUCUCGUACCCUUGCCCUUUGUAGUGGAGUCGAUACCUUAAAGUUUAUCGGUUAAAUGGAAAGAGGGAUUUCUAAAGAAUGUGACGACAAUCAUAGUAACGAGAACCCCAGAUCUAAAACAAUUAUAGUUUUAGACCCAUGAAUGGUCGUUUACUCAACAACUAGAUAAAUGAAUCAGUUCAAGUAAAUACGAUACAAGAAGUCAGUUCGAAAUCUAAGAUCGGUAAUAAUUUAUCGUUACUACAACAAGUUUUGGACGAUUACAGUCUUUAGGAUGACGGGUCGUCCUAAAGAUCUUAAGAUCACGUAGACCAAAGAUAUUGUACCAAAGGGUUGGCGCCACUCGUGACGAGUCACGCACCGUC
rnacentral:rRNA from 1 species